rnacentral:rRNA from 1 species
UACGGAGGGUCCAAGCGUUAUCCGGAAUCAUUGGGUUUAAAGGGUCCGCAGGCGGUCAAUUAAGUCAGAGGUGAAAGCCCAUCGCUCAACGAUGGAACUGCCUUUGAUACUGGUUGACUUGAGUUAUACGGAAGUAGAUAGAAUAAGUAGUGUAGCGGUGAAAUGCAUAGAUAUUACUUAGAAUACCGAUUGCGAAGCAG